rnacentral:rRNA from 1 species
AACGAACGCUGGCGGCAGGCUUAACACAUGCAAGUCGAGCGCCCCGCAAGGGGAGCGGCAGCCGGGUGAGUAACGCGUGGGAACGUACCUUUUGGUUCGGAACAACUCCGGGACACUGGAGCUAAUACCGGAUAAGCCCUAACGGGGAAAGAUUUAUCGCCGAAAGAUCGGCCCGCGUCUGAUUAGCUAGUUGGUGAGGUAACGGCUCACCAAGGCGACGAUCAGUAGCUGGUCUGAGAGGAUGAUCAGCCACACUGGGACUGAGACACGGCCCAGACUCCUACGGGAGGCAGCAGUGGGGAAUAUUGGACAAUGGGCGCAAGCCUGAUCCAGCCAUGCCGCGUGAGUGAUGAAGGCCUUAGGGUUGUAAAGCUCUUUUGUCCGGGAAGAUAAUGACUGUACCGGAAGAAUAAGCCCCGGCUAACUUCGUG